UACGGGGGGAGCAAGCGUUGUUCGGAUUUACUGGGCGUAAAGGGCGCGUAGGCGGCCACGACAAGUCACUUGUGAAAUCUCCGGGCUUAACUCGGAACGGUCAAGUGAUACUGUCGGGCUAGAGUGCAGAAGGGGCAACUGGAAUUCUCGGUGUAGCGGUGAAAUGCGUAGAUAUGACAUAGAACACCAAUUGCGAAGGCAGCUUACUAAGAAAAUAUUGACGCUGCGGCACGAAAGCGUGGGGAUCAAACAGG
rnacentral:rRNA from 1 species